rnacentral:misc_RNA from 1 species
UUCCAAAUCUUACAAUAGUACCUCGCAUUACUAUAGACAAUGAUGGGCAAUCGCCAGAUCACUCUCAGCUACAAAGUUAGGAGGCAAAAUAAAAUGGGUGGAAAACUAGAAGUUGGCACAAAAUUGAUCUACUACCUCUGUGGAGUUCCAGAUAGUAUUGGGCCACUAGCCACGGACCCAUGUUUUCCCAUGGCUGGAAUGCUGAGGGAGCGUUUUCUGGUUUUAACACUACCAGCGUUUGACAAUCUUCUUCCUCCCUUUUCCACGAGCAGAGAAGAGUAAAACGAGCAUAAUGGCUCACCCAGUGGCUCACUUCUAGUUCUAAGGAACCGGUCUAGAUUCUGCAUAUAUUUAUCGCCUUUCAACGGGUUUGCCUUAUUAACAGUAAUAGGCAGAACCUUAUCUUUGGACUCCUCAUCGUCAUCUGAACAAUACCCAUUCUGUAGCACAUCCUGCAUUGCUAGAUCAUCGUACUCCUCAUCAGAUUUUGUGGACUCCUCGUCAACUGAGCCAAUCUCUUCAUGGACAUGUUUAUCACCAUCAUCACUAUA